rnacentral:lncRNA from 1 species
ACACAAUAAAAACAAUUAUACCAAGCAUGUUUCAAUAGAUAGACCAUCUAACAUUAUAGUACUAUCUUACUACACAAUAAAAACCAAUUAUACCAAGCAUGUUUCAAUAGAUAGACCAUCUAACAUCAUAGUACUAUCUUACUACACAAUAAAAACCAAUUAUACCAAGCAUGUUUCAAUAGAUAGACCAUCUAACAUCAUAGUACUAUCUUUACUACACAAUAAAAACCAAUUAUACCAAGCAUGUUUCAAUAGAUAGACCAUCUAACAUCAUAGUACUAUCUUACUACACAAUAAAAACCAAUUAUACCAAGCAUGUUUCAAUAGAUAGACCAUCUAACAUCAUAGUACUAUCUUACUACACAAUAAAAACCAAUUAUACCAAGCAUGUUUCAUAAGAUAGACCAUCUAACAUCAUAGUACUAUCUUACUACACAAUAAAAACCAAUUAUACCAAGAAUGUUUCAAUAGAUAGACAUCUAACAUCAUAGUACUAUCUUACUAUACAAUAAAAACCAAUUAUACCAAGCAUGUUUCAUUAGAUAGACCAUCUAACAUUAUAGUACUAUCUUACUACACAAUAAAAACCAAUUAUACCAAGCAUGUUUCAAUAGAUAGAACAUCUAACAUCAUAGUACUAUCUUACUACACAAUAAAAACCAAUUAUACCAAGCAUGUUUCAUUAGAUAGACCAUCUUA